UACGAAGGGUGCAAGCGUUACUCGGAAUUACUGGGCGUAAAGCGUGCGUAGGUGGUUUGUUAAGUCUGAUGUGAAAGCCCUGGGCUCAACCUGGGAAUGGCAUUGGAUACUGGCGAGCUAGAGUGCGGUAGAGGGUAGUGGAAUUCCCGGUGUAGCAGUGAAAUGCGUAGAGAUCGGGAGGAACAUCUGUGGCGAAAGCGCUCUACUGGACCGCAACUGACACUCAGGGACGAAAGCUAGGGGAGCGAAUGGG
rnacentral:rRNA from 1 species